rnacentral:rRNA from 1 species
CCUACGGGAGUCAGCAGUGGGGAAUAUUGCACAAUGGGGGAAACCCUGAUGCAGCAACGCCGCGUGAGUGACGAAGUAUUUCGGUAUGUAAAGCUCUAUCAGCAGGGCAGAAAAUGACGGUACCUGAUUAAGAAGCCCCGUCUAACUACGUGCCCGCAGCCGCGGUAAUACGGAGGUGGCAAGCGUUCUCCGUGUUUCCUUGGUGUAAAGGGUGCGCAGACGGCCGUGCAAGUCUGGAGUGAAAGCCCGGGGCCCAACCCCGGCACUGCUCUGGAAACUGGGCGGCGAGAGUACUGGAGGGGCAGGCGGAAUGCCUAGGGUAGCGGUGAAAUGCGUAGAUAUUAGGAGGAACACCAGUGGCGAAGGCGGCCUGCUGGACAGUAACUGACGUUGAGGCUCGAAAGCGUGGGGAGCAAACAGGAUUAGAUACCCGUGUAGUC